GAUGAACGCUGGCGGCGUGCUUAACACAUGCAAGUCGAACGAUGAAGCCCAGCUUGCUGGGUGGAUUAGUGGCGAACGGGUGAGUAACACGUGAGCAACCUGCCCCUGACUCUGGGAUAAGCGCUGGAAACGGCGUCUAAUACUGGAUAUGUCCCGUCACCGCAUGGUGUGCGGGUGGAAAGAUUUUUCGGUUGGGGAUGGGCUCGCGGCCUAUCAGCUUGUUGGUGAGGUAAUGGCUCACCAAGGCGUCGACGCGUAGCCGGCCUGGGAGGGUGACCGGCCAGACUGGGACUGAGGCGCUGCCCCGACGCCGACUGGAGGCAGCAGUGGGGAAUAUUGCACAAUGGGCGAAAGCCUGUUGCAGCAACGCCGCGUGAGGGAUGACGGCCUUCGGGUUGUAAACCUCUUUGGGCAGGGAAGAAGCGAAAGUGACGGUACCUGCAGAAAAAGCACCGGCUAACUACCUGCCAGCCGCCGCGGUAACAC
rnacentral:rRNA from 1 species